GACUAACGCUGGCGGCGUGCCUAACACAUGCAAGUCGAACGAGAAAGCGGUAGCAAUAUCGCGAGUACAGUGGCGAACGGGUGAGUAACACGUAAACAAUCUGCCCCUAAGUGGGGGAAAACCUGGGGAAACCCGGGCUAAUCCCCCGUAAGGUAACGAGGAUGCAUGUUCUUGUUAUUAUAGAUUUAUCGCUUAGGGAGGAGUUUGCGUCUGAUUAGCUAGUUGGCGGGGUAAAGGCCC
rnacentral:rRNA from 1 species